AUACGGAGGGGACUAGCGUUGUUCGGAAUUACUGGGCGUAAAGCGUACGUAGGCGGAUCAGAAAGUAUGGGGUGAAAUCCCAGGGCUCAACCCUGGAACUGCCUCAUAAACUCCUGUUCUUGAGUUCGAGAGAGGUGAGUGGAAUUCCGAGUGUAGAGGUGAAAUUCGUAGAUAUUCGGAGGAACAUCGGUGGCGAAGGCGGCUCACUGGCUCGAUACUGACGCUGAGGUACGAAAGUGUGGGGAGCAAACAGGAUUAGAAACCCUAGUAGUCC
rnacentral:rRNA from 1 species